GAUAGUGUGGCAUAGUGGUUUGAGUGUUGGACUACGACUCUAGAAACCAGGGUUCAAUUCUCCACUCCACCA